rnacentral:rRNA from 1 species
UACGGGGGGGGUAAGCGUUGUUCGGAAUUACUGGGCGUAAAGGGCGCGUAGGCGGCCUGCUAAGUCACACGUGAAAUCCCUCGGCUCAACCGGGGAACUGCGUGUGAUACUGGCGGGCUUGAAUUCGGGAGAGGGAUGUGGAAUUCCAGGUGUAGCGGUGAAAUGCGUAGAUAUCGGGAGGAACACCAGUGGCGAAGGCGACUACCUGGCCUGUUCUUGACGCUGAGGCGCGAAAGCUAGGGGAGCAAACGGG